AAUAGGGCGCUUUAGUUGCUAGUAAUAGACCCGAAACCGGGCGAUCUAGCCAUGGCCAGGUUGAAGGUGCCGUAACAGGCACUGGAGGACCGAACCCACUGUCUUUGAAAAGCCAGGGGAUGACUUGUGGAUCGGAGUGAAAGGCUAAUCAAGCCCGGAGAUAGCUGGUUCUCCUCGAAAUCUAUUUAGGUAGAGCGUCAUGUCU
rnacentral:rRNA from 1 species